GACGAACGCUGGCGGCGUGCUUAACACAUGCAAGUCGAACGGAAAGGCCCUGCUUUUGUGGGGUGCUCGAGUGGCGAACGGGUGAGUAACACGUGAGUAACCUGCCCCUGACUUUGGGAUAACUUCAGGAAACUGGGGCUAAUACCGGAUAGGAGCUCCUGCUGCAUGGUGGGGGUUGGAAAGCUUCGGCGGUUGGGGAUGGACUCGCGGCUUAUCAGCUUGUUGGUGGGGUAGUGGCUUACCAAGGCUUUGACGGGUAGCCGGCCUGAGAGGGUGACCGGCCACAAUGGGACUGAGAGACGGCCCAGACUCCUACGGGAGGCAGCAGUGGGGAAUAUUGCACAAUGGGCGGAAGCCUGAUGCAGCAACGCCGCGUGCGGGAUAACGGCCUUCGGGUUGUAAACCGCUUUCGCCUGUGACGAAGCGUGAGUGACGGUAAUGGGUAAAGAAGCACCGGCUAACUACGUG
rnacentral:rRNA from 1 species